UUAAAUAUAAAUUGCUUAACUUGUUAAUGUUUGAUUUUAUUGUUAUAUUAGCGUUAUGUGUAUAUUGCGUUUUGGCCAAAAAUCGCAUUUGCCGUAGAGUUUGUGUGUGUGCGUGUGCGUGCUUUUCGAAUCAUUCCUUGGCUGUUUUCAAAUUGCGAAAAAACCGGACGCUCGAAAAUCUUCACUUCCGUCGCUCCAAAAUGAUGCGUCGUCGUUCACAGCAGGGUGAAUUGAAUAUUAAAUUAUUUUUGCCAUCAUGUUGCGAAACCGACGGCUUUGAACAUUUUCACUGUGUCACACACACACACACAAAAUCCAGUUCCGAAAUACAAAAUCAAAACACACUGUCUGACAUUUAUUUUCUGACUAUGGUAAAACGCAAUAGUUUCUCUCAUGUUUGUUGUUGUUGUUUCAACGAAAAUUUGCCACAGUCAGAAUUUUGAAAUGUCAGACAGAUUUUAAAGCCAACGCUUUGUAUGAGCUAAUGCAAUUCGGAUUUUAUUCACAAACAUUUAUCGCUGAGCAAAACGAAUCCUUAUGUCCAGAGAAGUAACGAAGCAUAUAUUUUUUUUAGUGGCCAUCACAUUUAUACGCAGACACACACACACAUACACAAAUAUACACAUAAAAAUACCCCAUAGAUCGCCAGUGUUUGAAUGAAGUGUUUUAUAGCAUUUAAGCCAAAGAAAGAAAAAAAAAUAAGAGAACGAAAAAUAAGAACGCUUUUUCAUCUCGUAAACUCCAUUCUCGGUUUGAACAUGGACGACCUAAUGAAUGUGUUCAAAUUAGUGUAAUAAGCACAUAUUCAACGUGACUGCCGUGUGUUUUUUUUUUUCGUUAGUGUAAGCCAGAUAAUUUCUGCUUUUUGAACUUUAUACGUUAGAAUAACACGCUUUUACAUUUAGCUAACCGUUUUCUUUUUAUUUCGUUUGAAUUUUUCCGCUGAUGAUGCUUUUCGCUGCUGUUGUUGUUGUUACUGCUGCUGCUGCUACUGCAAUUGAAUACUAAUGCACCGAGAAAUCAAUUGUGAUGAGAUCGAAAAGAGAAACUAAACGAGCUUUUGCCCAGCGAAGCUUUUCGCGAUGGAGCUUUUUUCAUUAAAGUUACUGGACACCCUCCCGGUGUGCCAAGAUUUUAAUCGAUCCAUGUGUAAUCGGCCAACAUGUCGUUUUGUUCAUCUAACUGAAGCUGAUAAAGUUGAG